rnacentral:rRNA from 1 species
UACAGAGGGGGCAAGCGUUGUUCGGAAUUACUGGGCGUAAAGGGAGCGUAGGUGGCUUUGUAAGUCAGUGGUGAAAUAUUGCGGCUCAACCGCAAAACUGCCAUUGAUACUGCUUAGCUUGAAUCACGUCGAGGUGGAUGGAAUAAUACAUGUAGCGGUGAAAUGCUUAGAUAUGUAUUAGAACACCGAUUGCGAAGGCAGUUCACUAGGCGUGUAUUGACACUGAGGCUCGAAAGCGUGGGGAUCAAACAGG